rnacentral:sRNA from 1 species
CUGAAAGAUGCCACUGGACAACAAAGCUCUGUAUUUAGCCACAGCGAAGGCUGUUGCAAACUUGUUCCACAGCUCUGCCAUGGAGAGACCAUCUCUAAGGUGGACAGGGGAUGUUCACCUUCUAUGCUCAUUCAGUCUUUGGCCAUG